rnacentral:rRNA from 1 species
UGCAGUCGAGCGGACCUUUCGGGGUCAGCGGCGGACGGGUGAGUAACGCGUGGGAACGUGCCUUCCGGUUCGGAAUAACCCUGGGAAACUAGGGCUAAUACCGGAUACGCCCUUAUGGGGAAAGGUUUACUGCCGGAAGAUCGGCCCGCGUCUGAUUAGCUAGUUGGUGGGGUAACGGCCUACCAAGGCGACGAUCAGUAGCUGGUCUGAGAGGAUGAUCAGCCACACUGGGACUGAGACACGGCCCAGACUCCUACGGGAGGCAGCAGUGGGGAAUAUUGGACAAUGGGCGCAAGCCUGAUCCAGCCAUGCCGCGUGAGUGAUGAAGGCCUUAGGGUUGUAAAGCUCUUUUAUCCGGGACGAUAAUGACGGUACCGGAGGAAUAAGCCCCGGCUAACUUCGUGCCAGCAGCCGCGGUAAUACGAAGGGGGCUAGCGUUGCUCGGAAUCACUGGGCGUAAAGGGCGCGUAGGCGGCGUUUUAAGUCGGGGGUGAAAGCCUGUGGCUCAACCACAGAAUGGCCUUCGAUACUGGGACGCUUGAGUAUGGUAGAGGUUGGUGGAACUGCGAGUGUAGAGGUGAAAUUCRUAGAUAUUCGCAAGAACACCGGUGGCGAAGGCGGCCAACUGGACCAUUACUGACGCUGAGGCGCGAAAGCGUGGGGAGCAAACAGGAUUAGAUA